rnacentral:rRNA from 1 species
UACGAAGGGGGCAAGCGUUGUUCGGAAUUACUGGGCGUAAAGCGCGUGUAGGCGGUUGUUCAAGUCAGGUGUGAAAGCCUUGAGCUCAACUCAAGAAAUGCACUUGAUACUGGAUGACUAGAGGACCGGAGAGGAUAGCGGAAUUCCCAGUGUAGUGGUGAAAUACGUAGAGAUUGGGAAGAACACCAGUGGCGAAGGCGGCUAUCUGGACGGUACUGACGCUGAGACGCGAAAGCGUGGGGAGCGAACAGG